rnacentral:lncRNA from 1 species
CAAAAGAGCAACCCAAGACAGGAAAGGAAAGACUCGGGCAAGGAACACAAGAACAUGCAGAGGCAAGAGUCCAAAGCCUACUUUCUGUCUUUUAAUUAGCAUUUUUUUUUUUCCAGUUAUCAAAACAAAUGUGGAGUUCACAAAUAAGUAAAAUUGGCAUACAAGCAAAGAGUUUCCGGAGUUUCCUUUUUAGACAUCCUUAAAUUCUUCGGGCUGGCCAAAAUUGUUAGGCCCUGUUUCGAUAAAACAGUACAAAGAGUUUCAAUCUUCCCAAUGAUGACAUGUCAAGUUAUUUGAUGCUUUCCAAAACUGAAAAUAUUAUCUCUUGCACAUUUAUCCCCAAAUCAGAGAAAACCCUUUAUGACGAAAAAUUGGUCCGAAGUCCAGAUUCCAUCUCAGCCAGAAUAAGAAGCCAGUGGUUAAUUUAGCAAUCAUCUCCAUCUUUGGGCUUCCCAACUCGAGUUAAUCUCGCGGUUGGGGUUUUUUUUUUUUUUUUUUUUUUAGCCGAAAGACGGAAGCUACACCGCGUAGAAAUCGACCAUCUCCGACUCCAUCCAUCGCCUCCGAUGAAAUAUCGCAGCAAACAUUAUGUAAGCAUCAUAUAUUUGUUAUCCAUUUUCCUUGAUUUUACUGUUUUCGAAUAAUUCGAUAGUUUGAAGAUUUCAUAGUGCUCGGUGGUUGUAGUCUACUGUAGCAUAAUGUGUGGUUCGUUUGUGUGCAGAAUGCCAAGAAAGAACUCUGGGCUAUGUCAUAGCUGUCGAGAAAAGGGUCAUUUCUUUGCGGAUUGUGUGAAAAAAAGAUGAUGCCCCCGGUGUAAAAUUGGCUUUGUGAAGUGCUUUGAGGUCGAGAGGGAAACGAAGAACAAGGGAAAAUUAUUCAAUUGCUGCAACAUUGCUAACUGUAAAUAUUGGGAUUUGCUCGACAAUGGAGAAUCAAGUGCUGGAUGCGGCUGCGGAAAAAGUUCAACACUUCUCUGACUUGUUCCAAUCUUUUUGUUGGUAGCCGAAGAAAAAAAUAUUGAAAUCUCAUUGAACAUGACUAUACACAAGGCCAGUGAAAGUGCGGAAGUGGAUAAGAAAGGGAAGGGACCGACAUGAUUAGUAGUUAUGUUGUCAAUAAGUUUCGUUCCUUGCUACUUUUGAUGUGUAGUAUGUGUUCUGUCUAGUAUAGUUUGUGAACUGUAAGAAUGUUGGUGUUCAUUUGGGUGAAUGUAACACGUUGGUGAUGAUGAAAGUAACUAUAUCAAGGAUGUUGGUAUGAGGAAUGAAAUUAAGUUGUGCUCUUAACUCCAGUGUUUGAGAGGAAUUUAAUGUCUAAACUUUUAUGCCCUCCUGAACUAGUCAUCUGAAUUGAAUAAUAAUCAGAG